UUGCUUUGGCAGCACAUAUACUAAAAUUGGAAGGAUACAGAGAAGAUUAGCAUGGCCCCUGCUAAGCGUUUCAUAUUGACUAGCAAAAAAAAAAAAAAAAAA
rfam:Mus musculus chromosome 2, GRC primary reference assembly.